UUUAAAAAUCCAAUGUAAAUUGCCACAAGAAAAUCCACAAAAACAAAAAAAUAAAAAUAAAAGUCUACAUUUUUUACUUAAAAAUUUUGAGACUUUUGGGACAUUUAUUGGACAAAAAAUAGAAUGGUUCAACUAAAGCCCAAAUAAAUAUGGUCCCUAUAAAGUCCACGAAGAAAUUGAUAAAAAUCACCGAGGAUAAAAUCUCCUAGUACCAAGGUUCAUAACCUUCAAGGUUCCUAUAAUAAAUCUCCUAAGAUAACCUUCUGGGUUACAAGGUUCUAAUGAAAAACCACCUUGGAUAAAACCUCCUAGGUUCUGAGAUUCCUAGCUUCUAAGGUCCCAAGGUUCCAAAGUUCCUAGCCUCCAAGGAUCCUAUAUUCCAAGGUUUUUAAGUUUUGAGGUUCUUAGCCUCCAAAAUCCCUAAGACAAACCAUCUAGGAAAAAACUAAGCUCCAAGAUUCCUAACCUUCAAGAUUCCCAAGUUUCAAGGUUUUUAGGACAAAUCACUUAAGUUAAACCUCCUACAUUCCUCAGGUUAACCUCCAAACAGAGGCGGAACAAGCCAACUUUGACUAUGAGGGCAAAAGAAUUUAUACAAAAAAGCUUGACGUAUUUUGUUAUGCUUACUCACAGGAUACUUUAAAUAUUUGCUGAUGCAAUCCUGGGUCACAUUGUAAAGAGUCUAGAUUAUUAUCUUUUCUUGAUUAAACUCAUGGAAAUUUGAGGGUACACUGCUCCUAAUCAAGGAUUAAAGAUUCAACAUUAGUUAGACUCAGAGUCAAAGAAUUAAGAUUUUCUAAUUCAUCUUUUCUCUUAAAAAAUUAUCUAGAGUCUUUUCGACUUAACCAUAACUUGAGGAAAAAAUUAUUUUUAU
rnacentral:lncRNA from 1 species